UUCCCCUUCUCAGCGCAUGAAAAAGACAAGUAGCAAUCUAGCGACUUCACGCGUGAAAUAGCGCCGGGGCUCAAGACGUCGACGCGUGUCGCCAAGCGCCCCUCGUCACCCUCUCGAUAGUACGCUCGCAUGGCAGAGCAUGAUUGCUUUUCAGUUUUGCCAGCACUAUUUCUGUCCUUUGGGCAUAAGAUCAAGCCACGUAAUGUUGCAAGGACAAUUAGAGUUGUUCCUAGCCGUGGAUUUCCCCUUUUCCCCUUUUUCUGAAUAAGGUUGAAGGUUCAGAAAAAGUUUGUUCUUCCAAAUUGGUGAAACUUUUUUUUUUUUGGAAUUUUGAAAGGGAGAAAUCCAAAAUGGGUCUGGAUUUUGGACACGUAUCCGCCCCAACUUUCAAGAAAAUUGUAAUCCUAAUCCAUCGCUAUAUAAGGUCUCUUUCUAUUCUAUCAAAGGGGUGAUUUUUGGAGUUGAAGGCAGAGAAGAGGGAGAUACCAAAACAAAAGAGAAAUAUUUUUCACAAAGUGGUUUAGUGAGGAGAAAUUCUUUUUUACAAGUUUCAAAGUCGUGUAAACAAAUAUAAAACAAGAUAUACAGGCAUAAAUACUUCUAAAUAUUCUGUUUGGUGUCAAAGAUCUUGCUUAGAGUUAUCUUCUAUUGAUUCACGUUCUGAAUUCCAUAGUGAAAAUAAGCUCACUGAUCGUCGUUUUCCCAGUAGCCGCCUAGAACAAGGUCCCUGAAAUUGAGGAAUACGGAGCCAUUGAAGAGUUGAAGUUUUGUGGCCAAAAGUCGAUAUUUUGUAUUUAUUUUAUGUUGUAUUUUUUUAAUUUUAGGCCUAAGGCCUUGUAAGUUUACUUAUUUUUAUUUUGUUAGAACUUAGGACAAGUACAGGUGAAGUGGGUCAAAAAUUCAAUAAAUGGGUCCAAAUAUCGUUCCAGGCGUA